ensembl:piRNA 21ur-1348 ncRNA
UAACGCUUGGUUAUGGUUAUA